rnacentral:rRNA from 1 species
AGCAGCCGCGGUAAUUCCAGCUCCAAUAGCGUAUAUUAAAGUUGUUGCAGUUAAAAAGCUCGUAGUUGAACUUCGGAAUUUAUUCAUUGGUCAGGCUUAACUGUCUGUACUGGUGUGAUGAAUUCCUACCUUCUGAGGAAUCUUCAUGCCAUUCACUUGGUGUGGUGGGGAAUCAGGACUGUUACUUUGAAAAAAUUAGAGUGUUUAAAGCAGGCUAACGUCUGAAUACAUUAGCAUGGAAUAAUAAAAUAGGACGGCUUGGUUCUAUUUUGUUGGUUUCUAGGAUCACCGUAAUGAUUAAUAGGGAUAGUUGGGGGCAUUAGUAUUCAAUUGUCAGAGGUGAAAUUCUUGGAUUUAUUGAAGACUAACUACUGCGAAAGCAUUUGCCAAGGAUGUUUUCAUUAAUCAAGAACGAAAGUUAGGGGAUCGAAGACGAUCAGAUACCGUCGUAGUCUUAACCAUAAACUAUGCCGACUAGGGAUCGGACGAAGUUAAUUUUUAAAUGACUCGUUCGGCACCU